GGUCAGGUGGUGUAGUGGUAACAUCCUUACUAUACAUAUAUGUGAAAGAUCCUGGGUUCAAUUCCCAGUCUGGCCA